AGGAUAUAGAUAUUCAAGGAAAAUGUUUUAUGCAUGAGGUCAAACUUCAAACUAAUUUAUUUUCAUUAUGUUUGUGUCCGGUCUCAUGGAAGUAAAAUGGCAAAUCUGUAUAUAACAGGUGUUCUGAUAUAUUAUAUAAUCUCAUGUUUUGUUUGCACUGGACAAGAAACUGGAACAUUCUGUUUCGAAGAGGUUAUUUCAUUUAUUCAAAAGCGUGGCACUUACAAUAUCCCUAGAGAAAAAUUGG